UACAGAGGUCCCAAGCGUUGUUCGGAUUCACUGGGCGUAAAGGGUGCGUAGGUGGUUGGGUAAGUCUGAUGUGAAAUCUCCGGGCUCAACCCGGAAAUGGCAUUGGAUACUGGCGGACUAGAGUACCGGAGAGGAAACUGGAAUUUACGGUGUAGCAGUGAAAUGCGUAGAGAUCGUAAGGAAGACCAGUGGCGAAGGCGAGUUUCUGGACGGUAACUGACGCUGAGGCACGAAGGCCAGGGGAGCAAACGGG
rnacentral:rRNA from 1 species